AUGGGGUGCAGCAUGAGCCGCCUCCUCAAGGCCACCGUCGCACUGGUCAUACUCGUCCUUCUCUUCAUGCCCGGGGCCAUGGCAGCCGCCGCCGCAAGCUUCGACGCCUCCCGGGCACAGCAGCUGCCCCUGCCGCCCGGAGAAGUGCACGGGCCAGAGAGCGUCGCCUUCGACGCUCAGGGCCGAGGCCCCUACAGCGGCGUCUCCGACGGCCGCAUCCUGAGGUGGAACGGGCCCAAGCUCGGCUGGACAACAUACGCCUACGGACCAGGCUACGACAGCGAAACGUGCACGACAUCCAGGUUUGGCACGGAGGCGGACAUAGAGAGCCGCUGCGGCCGCCCGCUUGGUCUGCGCUUCAACCAGAAAACGGGUGACCUCUACGUGGCCGAUGCGUACAAAGGGCUUAUGCGUGUGCCGCCCGGCGGCGGGGAAGCCACCGUGUUGGUCGACCAGAUUGAUGGCAUGCCGCUGCGCUUCACCAACGGGGUUGACGUCGAUCAAGUCACCGGUCAAGUCUACUUCACCCACAGUUCAAUGAACUACGACAGGUCAGAACACGAGAUGGUCACCAAGACGGGGGACUCCACGGGCCGCCUCAUGAUGUAUGAUCCACGAACAUCGGACGCCACCGUGCUCCAACCAAGGAUGACAUACCCGAACGGCGUCGCACUCAGCGCCGACCGCACGCACCUCGUGGUCGCAUCUACUGGCCCGUGCAAGCUGCUGAGGCACUGGAUCAAAGGGGUCGACGCGGGCAAGUCCGAGCCUUUUGCCGACCUGCCGGGCUACCCAGAUAACGUGAGGCCCGACAGGAAAGGAGGCUACUGGGUGGCGUUGCACCGUGAGAAAAAUGAGUUGCCCUUUGGUCGUGAUAGCCAUCUUCUUGCUGUGAGGGUCGCUGCUGACGGGAAGAUAGUCGAGGAGAUGAGAGGGCCAAAAAAAGUCAGGCCAACCGAGAUCAUGGAAAGAGAUGACGGCAAGCUAUACUUGGGCUCGGUGGAGCUUCCUUAUGUCGGCGUAGUAAAAAGGAAGUAG
rnacentral:rRNA from 1 species